GGGGAUUUAGCUCAGUGGUAGAGCGCUUGCCUAGCAAGCGCAAGGCUCUGGGUUCGGACCCCAGCUCCG
rnacentral:tRNA from 1 species